rnacentral:rRNA from 1 species
AUUGAACGCUGGCGGCAUGCCUUACACAUGCAAGUCGAACGGCAGCACGGGUGCUUGCACCUGGUGGCGAGUGGCGAACGGGUGAGUAAUAUAUCGGAACGUACCUUAUUGUGGGGGAUAACGCAGCGAAAGCUGUGCUAAUACCGCAUAAUCCCUAAGGGGGAAAGCGGGGGACCGUAAGGCCUCGCGCAAUUAGAGCGGCCGAUACAUGAUUAGCUAGUUGGUGAGGGAAAGGCUCACCAAGGCAACGAUCAGUAGCUGGUCUGAGAGGACGAUCAGCCACACUGGGACUGAGACACGGCCCAGACUCCUACGGGAGGCAGCAGUGGGGAAUUUUGGACAAUGGGGGCAACCCUGAUCCAGCAAUGCCGCGUGAGUGAAGAAGGCCUUCGGGUUGUAAAGCUCUUUUGUCAGGGAAGAAACAGCAGCUCUAACACAGUUUGCGAAUGACGGUACCUGAAGAAUAAGCACCGGCUAACUACGUGCCAGCCGCCGCAGUAA